GCCUACGGGCGGCAGCAGUAGGGAAUCUUGCGCAAUGGGCGAAAGCCUGACGCAGCCAUGCCGCGUGAAUGAUGAAGGUCUUAGGAUUGUAAAAUUCUUUCACCGGGGAAGAUAAUGACGGUACCCGGAGAAGAAGCCCCGGCUAACUUCGUGCCAGCAGCCGCGGUAAUACGAAGGGGGCUAGCGUUGCUCGGAAUUACUGGGCGUAAAGGGCGCGUAGGCGGACAUUUAAGUCAGAGGUGAAAGCCCAGGGCUCAACCUUGGAAUUGCCUUUGAUACUGAAUGUCUUGAGUUCGGGAGAGGUGAGUGGAAUGCCGAGUGUAGAGGUGAAAUUCGUAGAUAUUCGGCGGAACACCAGUGGCGAAGGCGACUCACUGGCCCGAUACUGACGCUGAGGCGCGAAAGCGUGGGGAGCAAACAGGAUUAGAUACCCCUGUAGUC
rnacentral:rRNA from 1 species